rnacentral:rRNA from 1 species
GAUAAACGCUGGCGGCGUGCUUAACACAUGCAAGUCGAACGAAGUUUUUCUUUCGGGAGGGCCUUAGUGGCGGACGGGUGAGUAACGCGUGGGUAACCUGCCCUGUUCAGGGGGACAACAGCUGGAAACGGCUGCUAAUACCGCAUAAGCCCUUAGCACUGCAUGGUGCAUAGGGAAAAGGAACAAUCCGGUACAGGAUUGAUCCGCGUCUGAUUAGCCAGUUGGAAGGGUAACGGCCUACCAAAGCGACGAUCAGUAGCCGAUCUGAGAGGAGGAACGGACACAAUGGGACUGAGACACGGCCCAGACUCCUACGGGAGGCAGCAGUGGGGAAUAUUGCACAAUGGAGGAAAUUCUGAUGCAGCCACGCCGCGUGAGUGAAGAAGUAUUUAGGUAUGUAAAGCUCUAUCAGCAGGAAAGAUAAUGACGGUACCUGACUAAGAAGCACCGGCUAAAUACGUG